AGGGAUAGAGCUUAGUGGUAGAGCAUUCCACUGCAGAUCGAGAGGUACGUGGUUCAACACCGCGUACCCCCU
rnacentral:tRNA from 1 species